rnacentral:rRNA from 1 species
GACGGAGGGGGCUAGCGUUGUUCGGAAUUACUGGGCGUAAAGGGCGCGUAGGCGGCUCUUCAAGUUAGGCGUGAAAGCCCUGGGCUUAACCUAGGAAUAGCGUUUAAUACUGGAGAGCUAGAGGUCGGUAGAGGGAAAUGGAAUUCCUAGUGUAGAGGUGAAAUUCGUAGAGUAUUAGGAAGAACACCAGAGGCGAAGGCGGCUCACUGGUCCGGUACUGACGCUGAGGUGCGAAAGCGUGGGGAGCAAACAGG